rnacentral:rRNA from 1 species
UACGUAGGGGGCUAGCGUUGUCCGGAUUUAUUGGGCGUAAAGAGCGUGUAGGCGGCCAUGUAGGUCCGUUGUGAAAACUCGAGGCUCAACCUCGAGACGCCGAUGGAAACCAUGUGGCUAGAGUCCGGAAGAGGAGAGUGGAAUUCCUGGUGUAGCGGUGAAAUGCGCAGAUAUCAGGAAGAACACCCGUGGCUAAGGCGGCUCUCUGGACCGAGACUGACGCUGAGGCGCGAAAGCGUGGGGAGCAAACAGG